AUUAUCAACAUCCUUCCUAUUAUAUUCUAAAUAUAUAGGAAAUUUUACUUUGAGAAAAUUAGAGUGCUUAAAGCAGGCAACUGCCUUGAAUACUCCAGCAUGGAAUAAUAAGUAAGGACUUUUGUCUUUCUUAUUGGUUCUAGGACAAAAGUAAUGGUUAAUAGGGACAGUUGGGGGCAUUCGUAUUUAACAGCCAGAGGUGAAAUUCUUAGAUUUGUUAAAGACGAACUACUGCGAAAGCAUUUGCCAAGGAUGUUUUCAUUAAUCAAGAACGAAAGUUAGGGGAUCGAAGACGAUCAGAUACCAUCGUAGUCUUAACCAUAAACUAUGCCGACUAGAGAUUGGAGGUUGUUCCUUACUCCUUAGCAC
rnacentral:rRNA from 1 species